rnacentral:rRNA from 1 species
UACAGAGGUCCCGAGCGUUGUUCGGAUUCAUUGGGCGUAAAGGGUGCGUAGGCGGCGGGGCAAGUCUGAUGUGAAAUCCUGGGGCUCAACCCUGGAACUGCAUUGGAUACUUCCUUGCUAGAGUACUGGAGAGGAAACUGGAAUUUACGGUGUAGCAGUGAAAUGCGUAGAGAUCGUAAGGAAGACCAGUGGCGAAGGCGGUUUCCUGGACUGAUACUGACGCUGAGGCGCGAAAGCUAGGGGAGCAAACGGG